GACACCCUCUGCAGGUUGGUGUUGAUCAUUGAUUUCCAUCUCCAGUGGAUCCAGCGGUCACUGAUGAUGAGCCCGUCAUUGUGGAGGUUGGGUGCUUCUUCCUGCUGCGGAAAUUCAUUGGCGUCUCCAGGUUGGCUUUAUUACAGGCUACAAUUUAUUGGUAAGCCCUUUGUUUCGUCGCUUGUUCUUUUCUGUUCAAGCUAUCUUUUUCUUGAUCAAUGUUCAGGUUUAAACUCUGUUAUUACAGACUCUAGUCCAACCAAUAUUAGACAGCAAACCUUAAAGGAACUUUGUUUGUAAAAUGUUCACACAAAGUACAACAUGGAAACAUAUAUUUAGUAAUAUUGAGUGUCCUUCAUGUGUUUUGUCAGAAUGCUUUUAUACAAACUGUUAUGUAAACCUAGUUUCACCUUUUAACAAAUAUUAAAUAAUAGAGAUAUUGCUACUUUGCUAUGAGUGCUGGUAAUGUGAUCUACUUCUCCUUAAAAUCUGUUUUUGAGUUUUGAAUGCGCGCUCAGCUAUCUGAAGUCUUAUAUUUAGUUGAAGCCUGAUUCGUGAAGAUAUAUCAUUUCAUCUAGACUAAUAUACAGCACUGGCCAUUGAUUUUGGUAGAGAAGCUUUCUAUUGGUAUCUCAACGGGAAUAUUAUUGUUGCAGUCUUGAAAUCUCAUUUAUUUGAACCAUUAGAUUAAUCGGGAUGACUUUGCUUCAUGUCAUUCGGAGGUGAGGAUAUUAUUAUAGAUCUUUUGGUAUGUUCUUCGUGUAACUGUUGAUCUAUGUGACUUGGGGUUUGUAUUGAUCCUAUAUUUUGCAUAUAAUUGGGCAAAACCUUGCCAUGUUUAUGAAUGAAUAAGAGUAAACCAACACAUAUCUUGAGGCCUCCAUGAUUUAAAUUUUUGCAGAACAUUACUUGGAAAAAGAAUAUUUACGGUGCCAACCCAUGUGCCCGCACACUUAUUUGUGUGCUUCAUUUACUAUCAAAACUCUUUUCUCUAUAUUACAUGAAGCAUAACAUGUUUUUAUUCACCCCAACUUCAUUUUCCCCUACGUGUCUGCCGGUUUUUUUGUGGGGUGUUCCAUCCUUUUUUCCAUUGUGGGUAGCGGCAGUUCCUCCUAUGCUCAGUGGUGUGACGGUGCCCUUUGCCCCCCUUCACAACAGGCGUCGAACCGGUGAUGUCCAGCUCCACCUACCUCCUCUGCACAGAUCCUCUGCCACGUCCUGCUUUCCAGUGUUUGUCGACUUGAGCCUUCAUCACUACGCUAGCGACCGAUCUAGCGUAGUAGGCCUAGAACGUGCUGAUCCCCAUCAUCCAGUCCUCCAGGCCCUCCAGAUUGUCUUCCCUUUUCUUUGCUUUGCUCGGCUUGUUUGGUCAUGCUCUCAAUGAAAUGAAACGCUGCUCUCCCUCGUAGUUUUAGAAAAAAAUUUAUGGUUCCAAUGAUCACAUUUACGUGCACAAUACCAGGACCGACAGCUCCCUGGUCCAGUAAUGUUUAUGUUCCAGUUUGGGGAAAUUUCUUCUUUUUUGUAGAAUGAGUUCAUGAGAUUUUUUACACAUUUCUUGUUGCAAGCCGCAGGAUGUAGCAGAACUUGGCAACAGGAGAGGCUUAUGUUUGAACUGGUACUUGCUGCAGGCAAAAAGAGAGGUUCUAUUCAUUUACUGCCUUCUUACAUCUUUGCUAUAAUAAUUUGUUUAGUUGUUUGUGCUCUCUAUUUUGAUUUGUACCUAGGUAAUAAUUUCCCUUUUGAAUUGAACAACUAAAGUAGCAUUAGUAAUGAAACAAAGUCAUAUAGUACACUCAGAAAAAAAGACUGCACUGUAUUGUACCUCUGAAAAUAGCUCCCACUUUCCAUAGCAGAUCACUGGCACUUUCUCCUUAUGAAAAUUGAGCCAUUUCAUUUCUACCUAGGUAACAAUUUCCCUUAUUUAAGAAAGCACAAAUCAGUACUUGAGUUCAUAGGAAAACUUGUUUUGUCCACUACGGACUACUGCAGAUUUGGAUGUUAAGUUCUAGUGAGUAACUUUUGUCGCUUUUUUGGUUUGAUUAUCUUCAUCUAGCAUUCUAAUUUCUCUUUCAAUCCAGUUUUAUGUUUUCCUUUUUUACAGGCAACAACCCUAAUGUGGAUGGAUGCUUUCAAUUGAUUACCACAAACAUAGGUCACCCCAUGGCCUACCUCUAAUAAACUAUUGGAAUUAUGCUAUCCUCCAUUUAUUAUAUUUUAAAAGAUUGAUUUGGAAUUAUUUAUGGAUUCUCUACAAUAAUCAUGGUUUCAAAGGGGACUAGGCGUCCGGACAAGAGCUGCGUGUGCGCCUAGAUGCCUAAUAAUACUUGGCCUUUUUUGUUUUGUUUCGGGUUUUUGCAAGUCACUAACGAUGGUUCCAGACUUCCAUUGGAUCCAUUUAUUAUAUUAGUAUAUAAGUAUUAGUUCAGUAACUAUGUUUAUUUUUCACCAUUUUUGGAGCAUCUAUAAUGUAUUCUUGGCUUACUGAAUUAUUUUUGCAUACUUAUUUCCUAUUUAUGUCAGCUUGAAGGGCCUAUAGUUGUAUCAUAUCCGAAUGAUUAGUGGAUGUUGUCCCCUUCGCGUACUAUCUUAUUAAGAUCUAUGCAUGACAUACUCUAUUAUUAAUCAUGAAAGUUUCUUUUUAAUGUUUUCUUUUGUUUCACAUUUUUUGACAGUUGAAGCAAUUGGCCCUCAUUAGAGAGGGGCAUGAGAAGAGAGUUAUGCAUUAGUUUUGUUUUUCUUUCAUUUAGAUAAAAAAGUAAUAUAAUUUGGUGUGAGUUGUUGCAACCUCAAUAUUUAUGAUCCCAAUGAAAGGUUAUUUAGUUGCCAUAAAUUGUAAUGUGAUUUUGUGGAACAAAACUAUGUGUAUUCAACCACAAAGUGUAUUUCAAUC